rnacentral:rRNA from 1 species
CCUACGGGGGGCUGCAGUAGGGAAUAUUGGGCAAUGGACGAAAGUCUGACCCAGCCAUGCCGCGUGCAGGAUGACUGCCCUAUGGGUUGUAAACUGCUUUUCUAUGGGAAGAAACACUCAUACGUGUAUGAACUUGACGGUACCAUAGGAAUAAGGAUCGGCUAACUCCGUGCCAGCAGCCGCGGUAAUACGGAGGAUCCAAGCGUUGUCCGGAUUCAUUGGGUUUAAAGGGUCCGUAGGCGAACUACUAGGUGAAAUCUUGCGGAUCAACCGUAAAAUUGCCUUUGAAACUGGUAGUCUUGAGUUCGGUCGAGGUGGAUGGAAUGUGUCAUGUAGCGGUGAAAUGCGUAGAUAUGACCCAGAACACCAAUUGCGAAGGCAGUUCACUAGACCGAUACUGACGCUGAGGCACGAAAGCGUGGGGAGCGAACAGGAUUAGAUACCGUAGUC